rnacentral:siRNA from 1 species
UGGUGUUGUCUUUUCGAUAUGCAU